GCACGGGUGAGUAAUGUAUAGAUAACCUGCCCUUAAGAAAGGAAUAACAGUUGGAAACGACUGCUAAUGCCCUAUAUGCCUUUAAUACAUAAGUAUGCAAGGGAAACGCUUUAGUGCUUAAGGAUGGGUCUGUAUGGUAUCAGCUUGUUGGUGAGGUGAUGGCUCACCAAGACUAUGACGCCUAACUGGUUUGAGAGGAUGAUCAGUCACACUGGAACUGAGACACGGUCCAGACUCCUACGGGAGGCAGCAGUGGGGAAUAUUGCACAAUGGACGAAAGUCUGAUGCAGCAACGCCGCGUGGAGGAUGACACAUUUCGGUGCGUAAACUCCUUUUAUAUAGGAAGAUAAUGACGGUACUAUAUGAAUAAGCACCGGCUAACUCCGUGCCAGCAGCCGCGGUAAUACGGAGGGUGCAAGCGUUACUCGGAAUCACUGGGCGUAAAGAGCGUGUAGGCGGGUAUAUAAGUCAGAAGUGAAAUCCAAUAGCUCAACUAUUGAACUGCUUUUGAAACUGUAUACCUAGAAUGUGGGAGAGGUAGAUGGAAUUUCUGGUGUAGGGGUAAAAUCCGUAGAGAUCAGAAGGAAUACCGAUUGCGAAGGCGAUCUACUGGAACAUUAUUGACGCUGAGACGCGAAAGCGUGGGGAGCAAACAGGAUUAGAUACCCUGGUAGUCCACGCCCUAAACGAUGUACACUAGUUGUUGUGGGGCUCGACCUUGCGGUAAUGCAGUUAACACAUUAAGUGUACCGCCUGGGGAGUACGGUCGCAAGAUUAAAACUCAAAGGAAUAGACGGGGACCCGCACAAGCGGUGGGGCAUGUGGUUUAAUUCGACGAUACACGAAGAACCUUACCUGGACUUGACAU
rnacentral:rRNA from 1 species